UGGACCUACGGGACGCAGCAGUGGGGAAUAUUGGGCAAUGGGCGCAAGCCUGACCCAGCAAUGCCGCGUGAAGGAAGAAGGCCCUCGGGUUGUAAACUUCUUUUAUCAGGGACGAAGGAUGUGACGGUACCUGAUGAAUAAGCUCCGGCUAACUACGUGCCAGCAGCCGCGGUAAUACGUAGGGAGCAAGCGUUAUCCGGAUUUACUGGGUGUAAAGGGCGCGUAGGCGGGAUGGCAAGUCAGAUGUGAAUUCCAGGGGCGCAACCCCUGAACUGCAUUUGAAACUGUCGGUCUUGA
rnacentral:rRNA from 1 species